AUUUCAGGUGUCUGCAGCAGUGUGGAAGAAAGCAGAGAGAUAGUUAAGAGAGACAUGGACAAAUCUGAGGUGGAGGCUGAUGACCCUGCUGGAGUGGAGAUGAUUCAUCACUGAGAUGGGGAAGCAUCAGACAAUUAUCAGUGCUGUUCUGGGGUCCACAAAAACACAAUGUUGUAUGUGCUCCCUCUACUGGCUCUGCAAUAGCAGCUAACUAAAAAUAUACAUGGAGUCACACUGACAUCUGAUGAUGUAGAAGCCCCGUGUUUGGAGAGAAGACAAUAAUGCCAUCUGAAUUUGAAAGCAAACACCCCCUCCCCAAAUGCUAACAUGAGCUUUGUUCAGAAGACAGGGGGAAAUGGAACAUUUGCAGCAUGGAAAAGCACAAACUCAUAGCACCUAGAGGCUACAAUCAAGACUGGAGCCUCAUUAUGUUAGGCACUGUAUAUACACAGAGUGAGAGACAGUCCCUGCCCCUAAGAACUUGCAAUUUAAGCAUACAAGACUGGCAAAGCUUGUGAGGGGAAACAGAAGAACAGAGAGAGAGAGAAAGUGACUUUGUUAAGAUCACAGAGCAGCUCAGUGCCAGGAAUAAUAAUAGAACCCAGAUAUCCUGCUUCUCAAUCUAGUGCCCUAUCAACUAACUAGACCAUGCCGCUUCUCAAUGAGUUCUAUGCGCUGCCCUGCAGUCCCUCCAUGUACUGUCAAUUGCAGAACUAGGGACCUAAAUGUCUGAGAAAAAAGUUUAAGUUCUGUUGUUACCAGUGGCCAUUUUAGACUUGACUGCCCGGUCAGCCAACACCACCUUUGAUUAUGAGCAAGGCAAAAAAGUAGCUGAUCUGCAAAUAGAACAGUUCUUUUAUUAAGGAUCUUCCAGUUAUCUUCCAGGAUAAGUUGUGCAUCAGGCAAAAACAGAGAAAAAGAAAUAAUCAGUCAGCCUCUCAACUGAGCCACAAUGCCUAAAAACACCUA